rnacentral:rRNA from 1 species
CCUACGGGAGGCAGCAGUGAGGAAUAUUGGUCAAUGGACGCAAGUCUGAACCAGCCAAGUCGCGUGCAGGAUGACGGCCCUACGGGUUGUAAACUGCUUUUGUAUGGGGAUAAACGGAGACACGUGUGCCUCUUUGUAUGUAUCCUAUGAAUAAGGGUCGGCUAACUCCGUGCCAGCAGCCGCGGUAAUACGGAGGAUGCGAGCGUUUUCCGGAUUUAUUGGGUUUAAAGGGUGCGUAGGCGGCCGGUUAAGUCAGUGGUGAAAGCCCGAGGCUCAACCUCGGAAUUGCCGCUGAUACUGGACGCCGUGAGAGUAGUUAGGGUAGGCGGAAUGUAUGGUGUAGCGGUGAAAUGCUUAGAUAUCAUGCAGAACACCGAUUGCGAAGGCAGCUUACCAGGCUGCAACUGACGUUGAGGCACGAAAGCGUGGGGAGCAAACAGGAUUAGAUACCCCAGUAGUC